rnacentral:rRNA from 1 species
UACGUAGGGGGCGAGCGUUGUCCGGAUUUAUUGGGCGUAAAACGCUUGUAGGUGGCCACGUCAAGUUGGAUGUGAAAGCCCCGGGCUCAACCUGGGAACUGCAUCCAAAACUGGCAAGCUAGAGUACGGUAGAGGGUGGUGGAAUUUCCUGUGUAGCGGUGAAAUGCGUAGAUAUAGGAAGGAACACCAGUGGCGAAGGCGACCACCUGGACUGAUACUGACACUGAGGUGCGAAAGCGUGGGGAGCAAACAGG